rnacentral:lncRNA from 12 species
AUGACCGAAGCGCUGGAGUUGAAGCCCAUUCAAGUUGUCUGUUACAACAAUAACGUCUCGAGUGACCAAACUAAUGAGGUGAUUCCAGGGAAUGGUGCUUGCUCAGACCACCUAAGAUCAGAGAGAAAUGAAGUGUCCCCUCUUCUAUCAACACCACAGGUCACUGAGAAAAAUAGGGAACAGCACCUCCAUGUUGAUGGAGGUGUCGAUACUGACUCUCCAACUCAACCCAAGUGCCAAAGGGAGUUGCGGAGGGUCAAGAGAGAACUGAAUGAGGUGGUGGUGUGGAAACUCAAAUUAUGGACAUUGCUGCUUAUCAUCUUUCUUGCCAUUGCUCUGGUUAUUGGGAUCUCAAUUAUUGUGUGUUCAGCUGUUCAUGACGAUAAGGAUGAAAAAUAUGACAAAUCAUCAUUUGUGGUGGCACGCUUCUUCAGAGGAAAUUUUACUCUGGAUGCUAAUAGUUUCACUUCAAACUCUCAGGAUGAAGAGACUAUGACAGAGCUGAAACAGCAGGUAAUAACAAUAAUGAUCUAUUCAGUACUAGAAAUUGUAGAUACCUGUGAAGGAUUUUUGAGAAACCCAUUCCUAAGCUUUACAUAA